UGAAGUUAAUCAAGCACUAAUCUGCUGAAGUUUUUGUAAAGGGAAAGUUAAAGACCCUUUUGCCAUAGGGUUUUUUGGCUUUUAAUAGAAUAUAUGAAUUCUGAUCAGAAAGUGAAAAAGUGGGAGAGACAAGAAUGAAAGCAAAGUGGAAUUGUGAAUGGUUCAUUGUUGGGCACCACAGCCAAUAGAGGAAUUUUAGUGGAAUUCUUUUGUUGUCUCUUUGUCUUCUCUUCUACUUUUGAACUUUGUGCUAUUCUACUAGGCCUACAUGUCUUUUCUUCUUUUCCAUCAAGAAUGUUGACUCUUUGACUUUUGAAUUUUGUGCUAUUCUACUAGGCCUACAUGUCUUUUGUUCUUUUCCAUCAAGAAAGUUGAAGUUCAUUUUCUGCCUUCUAACUUUUUGAAGGUUUCAAAAAGAUACUACUAACCUAAAAAUUUCUGUGGGGAAUGGGAUGCUUUUCUUUUUUUCGGUUAAGGGUCAGAUUUGUCCUUAUACUAUUCAAAAUAAGUUAUAUUUAUCCUCCGUUUGAAUUCUUUAACAAAUAUACCCCCACCGUUACACUAUCGGG
rnacentral:lncRNA from 1 species